rnacentral:rRNA from 1 species
GACGAACGCUGGCGGCGUGCUUAACACAUGCAAGUCGAGCGAUGAAGUUUCUUCGGAAAUGGAUUAGCGGCGAACGGGUGAGGAACACGUGAAGAAUCUGCCCUCCACUUUGGGAUAACACCGGGAAACCGGUGCUAAUACCGAAUAUUGAAACAUAAGUGGCAUCACUGAGUUUUGAAAGAAUUUCGGUGGAGGAUGACUUCGCGGCCUAUCAGCUAGUUGGUGAGGUAAUGGCUCACCAAGGCAACGACGGGUAGCCGGCCUGAGAGGGCGACCGGCCACACUGGGACUGAGACACGGCCCAGACUCCUACGGGAGGCAGCAGUGGGGAAUAUUGGGCAAUGGAGGAAACUCUGACCCAGCGACGCCGCGUGCGGGAUGAAGGCCUGGUGUAACCGCUUCAGUAGGGAAGAAGCG